AUUGAACGCUGGCGGCAGGCCUAACACAUGCAAGUCGAACGAGUGGCGGACGGGUGAGUAAUGUCUGGGAACCUGCCUGAUGGAGGGGGAUAACUACUGGAAACGGUAGCUAAUACAGCAUACCAUCGGAUGUGCCCAGAUGGGAUUAGCUAGGUGGUGGGGUAACGGUGCACCAAGGCGACGAUCCCUAGCUGGUCUGAGAGGAUGACCAGCCACACGGGGACGUAGACACGGUCCAGACUCCUACGGGAGGCAGCAGUGGGGAAUAUUGCACAAUGGGCGCAAGCCUGAUGCAGCCAUGCCGCGUGUAUGAAGAAGGCCUUCGGGUUGUAAAGUACUUUCAGCGGGGAGGCGGUACCCGCAGAAGAAGCACCGGCUAACUCCGUGCCAGCAGCCGCGGUAAUAC
rnacentral:rRNA from 1 species